rnacentral:tRNA from 1 species
AGUAGUGUGGUGUAGUGGAUAGAGCACUGGCCUGGGAGUCAGAAGGUCCUGGGUUCUAUUCCCUGCUCUGCUA